GAUGAACGCUAGCGGCAGGCUUAAUACAUGCAAGUCGAGGGGCAGCGGGUGUAGCAAUACAUGCCGGCGACCGGCGCACGGGUGCGUAACGCGUAUGUAACCUACCUUUAACUGGAGGAUAGCCCCGAGAAAUCGGGAUUAAUACUCCAUAAAAUUAUGAGAAGGCAUCUUUUUAUAAUUAAAGCUCCGGCGGUUUUAGAUGGGCAUGCGUGACAUUAGCUAGUUGGUGAGGUAACGGCUCACCAAGGCUCCGAUGUCUAGGGGUUCUGAGAGGAUUAACCCCCACACUGGUACUGAGACACGGACCAGACUCCUACGGGAGGCAGCAGUAAGGAAUAUUGGGCAAUGGACGCAAGUCUGACCCAGCCAUGCCGCGUGAAGGAUGACGGCCCUAUGGGUUGUAAACUUCUUUUGUACGGGAAAACCUUCGAACGUGUUCGAAGCUGAUGGUACCGUAAGAAUAAGCAUCGGCUAACUCCGUG
rnacentral:rRNA from 1 species